GCGGCAGACGGGUGAGUAACACGUGGAUAACCUGCCCUUGAGUGGGGAAUAACCUCGGGAAACCGGGGCUAAUACCGCAUACGAUCUUCAGCACAUAAGUGAAGGAGAUGAAAGCCUUCGGGCGCUCGAGGAGGGAUCCGCGGCCGAUUAGCUUGUUGGUAGGGUAACGGCCUACCAAGGCACCGAUCGGUAGCCGGCCUGAGAGGGUGAACGGCCACACUGGCACUGAGACACGGGCCAGACUCCUACGGGAGGCAGCAGUAGGGAAUCUUGGACAAUGGGGGAAACCCUGAUCCAGCGACGCCGCGUGACCGAUGAAGCCUUUCGGGGUGUAAAGGUCUUUCGGCGGGGACAAUGAUGAUGGUACCCGCAUAAGCAGCUGCGGCUAACUACGUGCCAGCAGCCGCGGUAAUACGUAGGCAGCAAGCGUUGUUCGGAAUUACUGGGCGUAAAGCGAGUGUAGGCGGCCGGCCGUGUCCGUUGUGAAAUCUCCCGGCUUAACUGGGAGGGUGCGACGGAAACUGGACGGCUCGAGUACGGAAGAGGAGAGUGGAAUUCCUGGUGUAGCGGUGAAAUGCGUAGAUAUCAGGAGGAACACCGGCGGUGAAGACGGCUCUCUGGACCGUGACUGACGCUGAGACUCGAAAGCGUGGGGAGCAAACAGGAUUAGAUACCCUGGUAGUCCACGCCCUAAACGAUGCAUACUUGGUGUGGGCUCUUCACUGAGUCCGUGCCGGAGCUAACGC
rnacentral:rRNA from 1 species